AGAAUCAACGCUGGCGGCGUGCCUAACACAUGCAAGUCGAACGAGAAAGUGGAGCAAUCCAUGAGUAAAGUGGCGACCGGGUGGGUAACACGUGACUAACCUACCUUUGAGUGGGGGAUAACAUCGGGAAACCGAUGCUAAUACCGCAUAACAUCGCAAGAUCAAAGCAGCAAUGCGCUUAAAGAGGGGGUCGCGGCUGAUUAGCUAGUUGGCGGGUAACGGCCCACCAAGGCGAAGAUCGGUA
rnacentral:rRNA from 1 species